CCACCUUCUUUCUUCGUUUCUAGGGUUUUUCAUCAGGGUUUCUCGUCAGCCAUGGGCAACAGUAAGAAAGAACCGUUAGAUAUCUCCGAUCUCGGUGCCUCCCUACCGGCGGCCGCUGCAGUUGUUCGUGCAGCUCUUAAUGCGGAGGAUCGUGCGGGGCUUGUAAACGCAUUGAAGAACAAGCUUCAAAACCUGGCGGGAGAACACUCGGAUGUUCUUGAGAGUUUGACUCCUGCAGUCAGGAAAAGAGUUGAGGUUCUGAGAGACAUUCAGAGCGAACAUGAUGAGCUAGAGGCAAAGUUUUUUGAAGAGAGAGCAGCACUAGAAGCAAAAUACCAGAAACUAUAUGAACCACUGUAUUCAAAGAGAUACGAUAUAGUGAAUGGUGUUGUUGAGGUCGAUGGAGUGAAGAAUGGAGAUUCGAUGGACCAGACAGAUGAUAAAGCUGGAGAAGAAAAGGGUGUGCCUAAUUUUUGGCUAACUGCAAUGAAGACCCAUGAAAUUUUGGCGGAGGAGAUCUCAGAACGAGAUGAAGAAGCUCUCAAAUACUUGAAGGAUAUCAAGUGGAAUCGUAUUGAUGAUCCCAAGGGUUUCAAGCUUGAGUUCUUCUUUGAUGCCAAUCCAUUUUUCAAGAACACUGUUUUGACGAAAGUAUACCAUAUGAUUGAUGAUGAUGAGCCUAUUUUAGAGAAAGCAAUAGGGACAGAUAUUGAAUGGUUACCUGGGAAAUGUUUGACACAAAAGAUCUUAAAGAAGAAGCCUAAAAAAGGAUCAAAGAACGCUAAGCCCAUCACAAAGACCGAGAAUUGUGAAAGUUUCUUCAACUUUUUUAGCCCCCCAGAGGUGCCUGAGAAUGAGGAUGAUAUUGAUGAAGAGAUGGCCGAAGAACUUCAAAAUCAAAUGGAGCAAGACUAUGACGUUGGCUCAACAAUACGAGACAAAAUAAUCCCCCAUGCUGUUUCAUGGUUUACGGGUGAAGCUGCUCAAGAGGAUGAGUUUGAAGGUAUUGAUGACGAGGAUGAUGAAGAUGACGACGAUGAUGACAUUGAAGAUGAAGAUGACGACGAGGAUGAGGAUGAGGAUGAUGAAGAUGACGAGGAAGAAGAAGUGAGCAAGGCCAAAAAGAAGGUAACAUUUCUUCCGAUAAGGUUGUAUUGAUCAUUUAUGCUUUAGCAACCAUUGCCCUACUCCUGAGGUAGAGGUCAGAGGUCAGGUCUGCUUACAUCUUAGAGUUCAACCAACAAAUUCUUCAAAAUUUCUCCAAAAUAUAGUCAAAUAUCAAAAUCUACAAAAAAGUUAACAUUUAACUCCAACACAUUCUUCAUUUUAGAUAUCACAACAUUAAUUAUAAUAUUAAAAUAUUCAAUUUUUUUAAUAAAAUAUAUUUUUCUCUCCUAAGCACUAGAUUUCAAAGACUCUUAUUGGUGGAAAACUGUGAGUAAUAGAAUAUCAUUUCUCAAUCCUAACCAAUCAUUUUUGGUGUUACCCAAAUUUGGAGAAUUUUGCCUUUUCUAUCCUACCUUCUCCAUUUUGGAGAUUCCAUUGGAGCAAAAGAAGGGAAAUUGACUGAAAUAGCCAAUCCAAUCAACCAAAUUCACUUUUUAGCCAUUUUCAAAGCCUCUUGUCAAAAUAGCAUUUGCGUAAAGACUGAUAUCUGGAAAAAAUAAAGAAAGAAUUCCAUAGGCAUAUGCGCAAGUAUUCUUUACGCAAGAAUCUGAAUCUUGACGCAAAGGAAUCUUUUUCUUUCUAAAUAUGAAAAUCGAUUAUACACGAGUGCGCAAGACACUGGCUAAAAUGGGAAUUCAAUUGAAAAAGUGGCUAAAAAGUGAAGUUGGUUAGGGAGAUUGGCUAUUUUGGUCAAUUUCCCAGCAAAAAAUCAUCAAAUCUCCUUUUUCUCUGUUUUGGAGACGCUCUUACCCCUUCCGGACCCCACCUUGAAAUGAGAUAUACUACUAUUUGGUUGGGUUUUUUAUUUAUUUAUUUAGGAGCAUGCUAACACGUUUCUUAUAUUUUGUUUCAUGCUAUCAGCAGUCUUCUGGACACAAGAAGGUGGGCGGCGGCAUGGCAAUCACUGGCGGUGAUCAGGGUGAGCGACCUCCAGAGUGCAAGCAACAGUAGUAGCUUCUGAGGUCGAUGAUUUCGAAAUAUUGGGUUCAGAGUUUUUGGCAUUCUGAUGGGGGUUCUUUAGGCAUCAUAGGUAACCAGUCAGGGGUAUUCUUGGAAACAACUUCUCUGGCUAAGGUUAGUCAGGGAUAUUCUUGGAAACAACUUCUCUGGCCAAAAGGUUAGUCAGGGGUAAUCUUGGAAACAACCUCUCUGGAUCUUGAGACAGAUGUAAGGUUAGUCGGGGGGGUAUUCUUGGAAACAACCUAUUCAAGUCUUGGAGACGGAUGUAAACAAUUUACCCUUUCUAGACCUUACCGUUGGUUUUAGGUAAACCAUGUUUGAAUUAUUUAAAGGUACAAUUGAAGAAAAGUGUAUGUUUUUUGGAUUUUGCCAUUUUUGUGCUCAUCUUUCUUGGC